rnacentral:lncRNA from 1 species
UCAAUUUAAUUAAUUCAUUUUUCUCUUUAUAAAAAGGUUUCCUUUCAUCCAAAAAUUGACUCCAGUUUUUUAGAUUGUUUUCAUUGCAAAAUACUGAAUUUCUAUCGAUGCCAUUCCAAUUCAAAGAAUUAAAAAAACUUCGAAUUCUCAAUUCUCUACGACGUCUAGACCAUAAUCCAAAAAUUGACUCCAGUUUUUUAGAUUGUUUUCAUUGCAAAAUACUGAAUUUCUAUCGAUGCCAUUCCAAUUCAAAGAAUUAAAAAAAACUUUGAAUUCUCAAUUCUCUACGACGUCUAGACCAUAAAUAUUUUCAGGAACAAGCAAAUCAAAAUGAUUUUUGUCUGUAUUUAUUCUUUGAGUUUGAGGUUGCAGAAUGA